UUUUUAAAAUAUGUGUUUUAUUAUUAUGCAUUGCUAUACAUAUGGUGUUUCUGUACAGUUCUAGACAGGUUCAGUUCAACUCCAGCUGUAGAGACCAUCACUGUUCGUUCUGUACAGUUCUAGACAGGUUCAGUUCAACUCCAGCUGUAGAGACCAUCACUGUUCGUUCUGUACAGUUCUAGACAGGUUCAGUUCAACUCCAGCUGUAGAGACCAUCACUGUUCGUUCUGUACAGUUCUAGACAGGUUCAGUUCAACUCCAGCUGUAGAGACCAUCACUGUUCGUUCUGUACAGUUCUAGACAGGUUCAGUUCAACUCCAGCUGUAGAGACCAUCACUGUUCGUUCUGUACAGUUCUAGACAGGUUCAGUUCAACUCCAGCUGUAGAGACCAUCACUGUUCGUUCUGUACAGUUCUAGACAGGUUCAGUUCAACUCCAGCUGUAGAGACCAUCACUGUUCGUUCUGUACAGUUCUAGACAGGUUCAGUUCAACUCCAGCUGUAGAGACCAUGACUGUUCGUUCUGUACAGUUCUAGACAGGUUCAGUUCAACUCCAGCUGUAGAGACCAUGACUGUUCGUUCUGUACAGUUCUAGACAGGUUCAGUUCAACUCCAGCUGUAGAGACCAUCACUGUUCGUUCUGUACAGUUCUAGACAGGUUCAGUUCAACUCCAGCUGUAGAGACCAUCACUGUUCGUUCUGUACAGUUCUAGACAGGUUCAGUUCAACUCCAGCUGUAGAGACCAUCACUGUUCGUUCUGUACAGUUCUAGACAGGUUCAGUUCAACUCCAGCUGUAGAGACCAUCACUGUUCGUUCUGUACAGUUCUAGACAGGUUCAGUUCAACUCCAGCUGUAGAGACCAUCACUGUUCGUUCUGUACAGUUCUAGACAGGUUCAGUUCAACUCCAGCUGUAGAGACCAUCACUGUUCGUUCUGUACAGUUCUAGACAGGUUCAGUUCAACUCCAGCUGUAGAGACCAUCACUGUUCGUUCUGUACAGUUCUAGACAGGUUCAGUUCAACUCCAGCUGUAGAGACCAUCACUGUUCGUUCUGUACAGUUCUAGACAGGUUCAGUUCAACUCCAGCUGUAGAGACCAUCACUGUUCGUUCUGUACAGUUCUAGACAGGUUCAGUUCAACUCCAGCUGUAGAGACCAUCACUGUUCGUUCUGUACAGUUCUAGACAGGUUCAGUUCAACUCCAGCUGUAGAGACCAUCACUGUUCGUUCUGUACAGUUCUAGACAGGUUCAGUUCAACUCCAGCUGUAGAGACCAUCACUGUUCGUUCUGUACAGUUCUAGACAGGUUCAGUUCAACUCCAGCUGUAGAGACCAUCACUGUUCGUUCUGUACAGUUCUAGACAGGUUCAGUUCAACUCCAGCUGUAGAGACCAUCACUGUUCGUUCUGUACAGUUCUAGACAGGUUCAGUUCAACUCCAGCUGUAGAGACCAUCACUGUUGUUUUUGUUUAGGAAGUCAGAAUGUCCCUUAACCGAAUCUUGGAUUUUCUGAUAGGAUAUUACAGUACUGAGAACUGUACAUUCCUCAAACGCACAGUAGUGCAUACCAACUAGAUGAGAACGCAAAGAUAGGCCAUUCCAGCUGUUUUAUUGCCAUUUCACUAAUGGUUCCGUCUGAACGGAGGACUCACCAGAGUUGAGGAAGAGAAGGAAGGAAGGGAACUUGUUUGUUUUCAUUCCCCAAAAUGCAUUGCAGCCAUAGCCCUCAGGACCCUCGUCCAGCCCCAGAAAUAACAGGUUGGUCUAAUCGGGAGCAGGUGAAUCUGCUUCCUUUAGCAGAUAUCUAUAUACUCAAAGCUUUGUUGCAUAAAGAUUGUUUUGUGAUGUUUCUGUGCAUUUUAUUUGGGUUUUCACAUUAAAGUUAGACUUGUUGAACUGUAAAUGUAACAGCUUUCGUUAGUUAUGCCUACAUUGUCCGUACGGAGUGGAACAAUAAUGAAGAUGUUAUCCUGGAAUAGAAUAAACAAAGAUUGAUAUGUUGCACAGGAGGCUGGAACAGACUUCACGGGAUGGCAUCAAAUAUCUGGAAACCAUGUGUUUGACCUAUGUGUUACCAUUCCACCGAUUCUGCUCCAGUCAUAAGAACGAGCCAGUUCUCCCCAAUGAAGGUGCCACAACUUCCUGUGAUAUGUAGGAUCUUAAUUUGAUCACCCUGUUGCAUGAGGACUUUCCUGAAAAGGAUGAAAUGUGAAUCUUGUAGUGUAUUUGAGGUUUCAAAAGGCUUCUAAAGUCUUUAAAUCUAAACUUUGAAAUGUCCUACUUGAUUUUCCCUUACGAAAAAUGUAUCAACCGCUACAAAAAUGUCCAUUGUCCACAUAAUAAUUCACUUUUCCUGUUGCUACAGGAUUCUUUUCCUGAUGUAGGAAACUGUCUCAAAUUAAGAUCCUACAUCUGCACAUGCAUAUUUAAUGUCCAUGGUUUGCUUUCUCCCAUCCUCAGGCGCUUAAACAUAAUGCAUAGAGUGUACAAAACUCUGCUCUUCCCAUGACAUAGACUGACCACCUAUGAUCCCUUAUUUAUUUGAUUGUAUUUUUAUUUAACCUUUAUUUAACUUGGCAGGUCAGUUUAUUUACAAUGACGGCCUACCCUGGCCAAACCCGGUCAACGCUGGGCCAAUUGUGUGCCGCCCUAUGGGACUCCCAAUUACAGUCAGAUGUGAUGCAGCCUUAUUGAUGUCACUUGUUAAAUCCAACUCAAUAUUAGGAAGGUGUUCUUAAUGUUUUGUACACUCAGUCUAUAACACCUACUUUUAUGUGAAAUGUUCUGAUCAUUUGAAUUGCAAAUCUUUGACCAGGAUGCCACGUCUGUUCAACGCUUAAAGACAUCCUCGGGCGAUUUCUUUCACUUUUCCAGUUAAAAGUGAUAUCCCAAGUAUAAAUACAGUAAAGUACACACAUGUUUUGAACAAAAUGGUAUUUUUUACACACAACUGCAAACUGCAAGGAGAAGGACAUUCAAGGAGUUGGUCUGAUGGUAAGUUGUGAUGUCAUCAGCCUCCCCCUUGCCUGACGAACUAUAGAGAACUGAAGAGGAAAGCCCCCCCCCCACACUUUGUCAUGACUGACCUGGACCACCUAUUGAGAUGUCCUUUUUGUUAAAUCAUUGAGGUGUUAAAUGAGGUGAAAAAGAUAUUUGAGUGCCACUAAGGUGUAGUUGACUAUCAUAAUGACUACUAGCUAGAACUGCUCUGGCAACCAUUCUUCCUUAUGGUUGUCUGAUGGUAUCAAGUUAGCCGGAGCUGCUGAGAAUGUAAAUAACAAGAUAUCUCACAUCUCUAAUAACUUAUGUAACAUGGUUUUAGGUUGCUUCCUGGAAAGUCAGAAUUGACUUGAAAUGAUUAGAAUCAAAAUGAUAACAAUCAGGUGCAUAGCUAUGGGUAUAUUUUGGAUUCUUGGUGCACAUUUUAAAAAUGUUUUCAUUAACGUAACAACGGUUUUCACCAGCAGACAAAAAAACUAUGCCCAUGGGUAGGUGAAUCAGUUGAGGUUGAAUCCAAAAAUUCAAUCCACAACUUUAUUGUCCCACUAUGGGAAAUUCUGCAAACCACAAUAAGGUUUAUUACAAAAUAAAUAUGACAUAUAGGUAAAUAUGACCUCUAAACAGAGAGUGUUUACAGACACAGGGGGCAACAC